UGCGUAGGCGGACUAAUAAGUCAGUGGUGAAAUCCUGCAGCUUAACUGUAGAACUGCCAUUGAAACUGUUAGUCUUGAAUUUAGUUGAGGUAGGCGGAAUGUAUUGUGUAGCGGUGAAAUGCAUAGAUAUAAUACAGAACACCGAUUGCGAAGGCAGCUUACUAAGCUAUAAUUGACGCUGAUGCACGAAAGCGUGGGUAGCGAACAGGAUUAGAUACCCUGGUAGUCC
rnacentral:rRNA from 1 species